GAGUUGUUCUGUGUAUUGGGUGGAGGAGGGUGAAUCCGAGAGGAGGGAGGAGGGUGAAUCCGAGAGGAGGAAGGAGGAUGAAGAGCCUAGCCUGCGCCCCACCUCUGAUUGUGCCGGGAAAAAGUGUCCGAACGCCUCGUGGACUGCAGCGGGGGAAAUGUCCCUUAAAAGUGCGACGAAGUGGGGAAGAAGGUGUAAUUACUAUUAUCAGCAUCUAGAAAGCAUCAUGAAUUUGCUGGAGUACUUCCUAGCACUGACCUCCUUCAUUCUGCGUUGUUCUUACUGGAUCUUUCCAUCAGCCAACAAUAUGGAAGUACCAAUACAAGGUCAAAUCAUUCCUGGAUUCAUCUGGAGUUGCUUAAAAGUUAAAUCAUUGGAAUUUUUGAUGAUACCUUUUCUAUAUGGAUUACAAUUUGAUCGCUGGGAAUUCUCCACCUUAAAGAAGACUCUUUUGCUAUCUGGAAACCCAUGUCCACCUCUGACUUCCACUCAAAAUUGCUUUCCUCACAGUCUGACUGCGAGAGUUGUGAAAAAUUGGGAUGUGCUUCUGAGGUGGGCUGUGGAAUGCCAUGUGUGAAUCAUGGCAAUACAGUGAAAGACAGUGAUUUACUGCUUUUGAGGGCGUGCAUGUAUAUGAUUAACGGAUGGAAGUGCAGGACUCCAAGAUUUACU
rnacentral:lncRNA from 1 species